UACGGGGGAAAAAUUUAUUGCUAUUAGAUGAGCCUAUAUUAGAUUAGCUAGUUGGUGGGGUAAUAGCCUACCAAGGUAAUGAUCUAUAGCUGAUCUGAGAGGAUGAUCAGCCACACUGGAACUGAGAUACGGUCCAGACUCCUACGGGAGGCAGCAGUGGGGAAUAUUGGACAAUGGGCGAAAGCCUGAUCCAGCCAUGCCGCAUGAGUGAAGAAGGCCUUUGGGUUGUAAAGCUCUUUUAGUGAGGAAGAUAAUGACGGUACUCACAGAAGAAGUCCUGGCUAACUCCGUGCCAGCAGCCGCGGUAAUACGGAGAGGGCUAGCGUUAUUCGGAAUUAUUGGGCGUAAAGGGCGCGUAGGCUGGUUAAUAAGUUAAAAGUGAAAUCCCGAGGCUUAACCUUGGAAUUGCUUUUAAAACUAUUAAUCUAGAGAUUGAAAGAGGAUAGAGGAAUUCCUGAUGUAGAGGUAAAAUUCGUAAAUAUUAGGAGGAACACCAGUGGCGAAGGCGUCUAUCUGGUUCAAAUCUGACGCUGAAGCGCGAAGGCGUGGGGAGCAAACAGGAUUAGAUACCCUGGUAGUCCACGCUGUAAACGAUGAAUGUUAAAUAUGGGGAGUUUACUUUCUGUAUUACAGCUAACGCGUUAAACAUUCCGCCUGGGGACUACGGUCGCAAGAUUAAAACUCAAAGGAAUUGACGGGGACCCGCACAAGCGGUGGAGCAUGUGGUUUAAUUCGAUGCAACGCG
rnacentral:rRNA from 1 species